AUGACGACCGUGGUGCUGCUGAAAACCAGAAAGAAGCGUGGUAUCUCGGUCGCCAGGGCAUCUGGUAGUUGGGGAGACGCCGAUCGAACCAGGCGUCGACCUCCGACCUCUCCGUGCUGCUCAGAGCCGUGGGCCAGACGCAUGGCAGCGUCUGACGCCCCACCGCCUCUGGGAGGGUCUCCUGUGGUUGGGGAUAGCGUUAUUUGUAGGUUUGUAGGUGUGUGUUGUGUGUGUGUGUGUGUGUGUGUGUGUGUGUGUGUGUGUGUGUGUGUGUGUGUGUGUGUGUGUGUAUGUAUUGUGUAUGUACGUGUGUGGUGUGUGUGGUUGUGUGUGUGUGUGUGUGUUGUGUGUGGUGUGUGUGUGUGGUGUUGUGUGUGUGUGUGGUUUGUGUGUGUAUGUGUGUAUGUGUGUGUGUGUGAGCACAAUGGCACGCGUGUUUGUGCUUGUGUAUUGGUGUGUGUGUGUGUGUAUGUGUGUGUGUGUGUGUGUGUGGGGGGGGGGGGGGGGUACGUACAGUUUCCAGGAACACGGGUGUGUUAGUAUAGAGGCUGUAGAGGAGACAGAGAUUGGCUCAUCGUCCACAAUGUCAGGACGCCGUAGCAGCUCUCCAAGUUCAGAGGGAGGCAUGGAGUUGACCAGCUAGAGGGAAAGCAGAACACAUGGAGGAAUGCACUCUCCGUCCAGGCACCGUCCUCAGGUACUGAGUAGUCAUGGGCGGGUUGGGGUUAAGGGGGAGGAGCCAAACAUCAGGGGGGUAGAGGGUGCCACUCAAAUGGCCAUAGCUCUACGCUUGCUUACAGUAUUAUCUAAGAAUCAGAUGCUCAAUCAGACACACACACACGCACGCACGCACGCACGGCACGCACGCACGCACGACACACACGCCACACCACGCACACACGCACACACACACCACCACACACACAAAUGUAUACACAUACCUCAGGCUGUCUGCUCUCAGGCAUGAGUGACAGGAAGGUUGUCAGGUUGGGGUACUGGAAGCCCAUGAAACCGGCCGUUUAGGAAACCAUAGAAGCUUUGGUUGUUGUUGUUGUCAUAGCAGCGGAGUGGGGUCGGCUCUAGAAUCAGAUGUUUAGAAUUCACUCAUGAAGUCCAUCAAACUGGAUUUUCUCGGUUUAAACCGUGAUUGGUUGGUUACCUCUUCAGCAGCAGGAUGAUUUGGUCAGUGUAUAUUAUUCAGUGUGGAGUUAUUCAGCGUUGAGAUACUUGAAUUCAGGAUCCCCACUCUGACGAAGACAACAGACAAUAUCUUAACUGCCUGUUCACCGUUCAGUUAAAGGAUUGCAUUCAUCAAGCUUGAAGUAGGGCAAUUCAGUAACGCACACUUUUAUUUGUCAAUUUGUUAAAACAGUUAUAAAUAGUUUAAGACAAUCGUUUCACUAUAACGAUAUGUAGUUUCCAAGCCUACUGCUAGACUCUUACCCAUCUUGUUCUGUACUGCAGUUUCCUCCCGGCCACCAGACUGAAGAAGGGGGCGACGUGGGACGGAGACAAGUCCACCAACAGGGGGCGCAGUCUGUCGUUGAGCCAGACCAGCACCUCCGCAUCGCUCACCGCGGGUUUCGGAGAGGUUGGCGCGGUCAAACACUUGCUGUAACAUGGCUGCCCUGACCGGGGAGGGGAAGCGAUCCUCUUGACCCUGGAGAAAGUCAAGAUGUUAGAAGAAGUUAAAAGCUGAGUUAAGAGUGUUUUAUCUACCCAUAUUAAUGCCAUACUGUACCAUACUAAAGUACAGUACAGUACAAUGGUUUAGUUCUAACUUGUGCAUGGUUUAUGAUGCUAACUUGCCAUUAUUGCAGGUGAGACGUAGUCAAAGAAGGCGUCCAGCUGAGAGCUGGGGACAUUGCCCAACACCAUGUUAACCUGGUCGGGCGUGGUUAGCAGUCCUGGGGUGGAGGACACCUCUGAGAGCUGUCUCACUGUCAGAUAGGGUAGGGCUUCCAGCUGCACGGAGACACAUACACACACACCACACACCACACAAACACACACACACACACACACACACACAGACCACACACACACACACACAACACACACACACACACACACACACCACACACACACACACACACACACACAACACACACACACACACACACACACACCACACAACACACACAGACCACACACACAACACACACACACGCACAAAACACAUUAUAGGUUUAGGGAACUGUCAAGGUGGAUGACAGUGAAGAAAACAAACACAACAAAUCUGUAUUAUUCUGUAUAUUUUUCAUUUCAAAAUGAUGAAGGUGAUUGCAGUAUUGUAGACGGACCGGGGCGAAGUCUGCAUUCAGCAUCUGCAGGCCGCUGACAGAGAUCAGCGCAGAGAAUCCCCCAAAGUUGUUCUGCAGCCAUUGUCCACUGGUUGUGUUAUCUGAACAGUUUGGAUCUGCGCCAGAGGAUACACAGGCCAGCAGUGAUCAUAGAUGUUAUAUACAUUAUAAUGAAGACAUAAAGAACUGCCAAACACCUAUGGUGGUCAUAAAACUGGUCCAAAAUAUGUUCCUGUGUUCAUCAUUGUAUUAGCAGAGAACAAGCC
ensembl:lncRNA